rnacentral:rRNA from 1 species
UACGUAGGGUGCAAGCGUUGUCCGGAAUUAUUGGGCGUAAAGAGCUCGUAGGCGGUGUGUCGCGUCUGCUGUGAAAACUCAGGGCUCAACUCUGAGCUUGCAGUGGGUACGGGCACACUUGAGUGCUGUAGGGGAGACUGGAAUUCCUGGUGUAGCGGUGAAAUGCGCAGAUAUCAGGAGGAACACCGGUGGCGAAGGCGGGUCUCUGGGCAGUUACUGACGCUGAGGAGCGAAAGCAUGGGGAGC